rnacentral:rRNA from 1 species
GAUCCUGGCUUAGGACGAACGCUGGCGGCGUGCCUAACACAUGCAAGUCGAGCGAGGAGAUUCCUUCGGGAUGAUCCUAGCGGCGGACGGGUGAGUAACACGUGGGCAACCUGCCUCAUAGAGAGGAAUAGCCUUCCGAAAGGGAGAUUAAUACCUCAUAACAUUGCAGUUUCGCAUGGAACAGCAAUUAAAGGAGUAAUCCGCUAUGAGAUGGGCCCGCGGCGCAUUAGCUAGUUGGUGAGGUAACGGCUCACCAAGGCGACGAUGCGUAGCCGACCUGAGAGGGUGAUCGGCCACAUUGGGACUGAGACACGGCCCAGACUCCUACGGGAGGCAGCAGUGGGGAAUAUUGCACAAUGGGGGAAACCCUGAUGCCAGCAACGCCGCGUGAGUGAUGACGGCCUUCGGGUUGUAAAGCUCUGUCUUCAGGGACGAUAAUGACGGUACCUGAGGAGGAAGCCACGGCUAACUACGUGCCAGCCGCCGC